UACGAAGGGUGCAAACGUUGCUCGGAAUUAUUGGGCGUAAAGCGCACGUAGGCGGCUUGGCAAGUCGGAUGUGAAAUCCCUCGGCUCAACCAAGGAAGUGCAUCCGAAACUGCUGAGCUUGAGUGCGAGAGAGGUUAAUAGAAUACCUGGUGUAGUGGUGAAAUACGUAGAUAUCAGGCGGAACACCGGAGGCGAAGGCGGUUAACUGGCUCGACACUGACACUGAGACCCGAAAGUGCGGGGAUCAAACAGG
rnacentral:rRNA from 1 species